GGGUUGUGAGGUUAAGCGACUAAGCGUACACGGUGGAUGCCCUGGCAGUCAGAGGCGAUGAAGGACGUGCUAAUCUGCGAUAAGCGUCGGUAAGGUGAUAUGAACCGUUAUAACCGGCGAUUUCCGAAUGGGGAAACCCAGUGUGAUUCGUCACACUAUCAUUAACUGAAUCCAUAGGUUAAUGAGGCGAACCGGGGGAACUGAAACAUCUAAGUACCCCGAGGAAAAGAAAUCAACCGAGAUUCCCCCAGUAGCGGCGAGCGAACGGGGAGCAGCCCAGAGCCUGAAUCAGUGUGUGUGUUAGUGGAAGCGUCUGGAAAGGCGCGCGAUACAGGGUGACAGCCCCGUACACAAAAAUGCACAUGCUGUGAGCUCGAUGAGUAGGGCGGGACACGUGGUAUCCUGUCUGAAUAUGGGGGGACCAUCCUCCAAGGCUAAAUACUCCUGACUGACCGAUAGUGAACCAGUACCGUGAGGGAAAGGCGAAAAGAACCCCGGCGAGGGGAGUGAAAAAGAACCUGAAACCGUGUACGUACAAGCAGUGGGAGCACGCUUAGGCGUGUGACUGCGUACCUUUUGUAUAAUGGGUCAGCGACUUAUAUUCUGUAGCAAGGUUAACCGAAUAGGGGAGCCGAAGGGAAACCGAGUCUUAACUGGGCGUUAAGUUGCAGGGUAUAGACCCGAAACCCGGUGAUCUAGCCAUGGGCAGGUUGAAGGUUGGGUAACACUAACUGGAGGACCGAACCGACUAAUGUUGAAAAAUUAGCGGAUGACUUGUGGCUGGGGGUGAAAGGCCAAUCAAACCGGGAGAUAGCUGGUUCUCCCCGAAAGCUAUUUAGGUAGCGCCUCGUGAAUUCAUCUCCGGGGGUAGAGCACUGUUUCGGCAAGGGGGUCAUCCCGACUUACCAACCCGAUGCAAACUGCGAAUACCGGAGAAUGUUAUCACGGGAGACACACGGCGGGUGCUAACGUCCGUCGUGAAGAGGGAAACAACCCAGACCGCCAGCUAAGGUCCCAAAGUCAUGGUUAAGUGGGAAACGAUGUGGGAAGGCCCAGACAGCCAGGAUGUUGGCUUAGAAGCAGCCAUCAUUUAAAGAAAGCGUAAUAGCUCACUGGUCGAGUCGGCCUGCGCGGAAGAUGUAACGGGGCUAAACCAUGCACCGAAGCUGCGGCAGCGACACUGUGUGUUGUUGGGUAGGGGAGCGUUCUGUAAGCCUGCGAAGGUGUGCUGUGAGGCAUGCUGGAGGUAUCAGAAGUGCGAAUGCUGACAUAAGUAACGAUAAAGCGGGUGAAAAGCCCGCUCGCCGGAAGACCAAGGGUUCCUGUCCAACGUUAAUCGGGGCAGGGUGAGUCGACCCCUAAGGCGAGGCCGAAAGGCGUAGUCGAUGGGAAACAGGUUAAUAUUCCUGUACUUGGUGUUACUGCGAAGGGGGGACGGAGAAGGCUAUGUUGGCCGGGCGACGGUUGUCCCGGUUUAAGCGUGUAGGCUGGUUUUCCAGGCAAAUCCGGAAAAUCAAGGCUGAGGCGUGAUGACGAGGCACUACGGUGCUGAAGCAACAAAUGCCCUGCUUCCAGGAAAAGCCUCUAAGCAUCAGGUAACAUCAAAUCGUACCCCAAACCGACACAGGUGGUCAGGUAGAGAAUACCAAGGCGCUUGAGAGAACUCGGGUGAAGGAACUAGGCAAAAUGGUGCCGUAACUUCGGGAGAAGGCACGCUGAUACGUAGGUGAAGUCCCUCGCGGAUGGAGCUGAAAUCAGUCGAAGAUACCAGCUGGCUGCAACUGUUUAUUAAAAACACAGCACUGUGCAAACACGAAAGUGGACGUAUACGGUGUGACGCCUGCCCGGUGCCGGAAGGUUAAUUGAUGGGGUCAGCGCAAGCGAAGCUCUUGAUCGAAGCCCCGGUAAACGGCGGCCGUAACUAUAACGGUCCUAAGGUAGCGAAAUUCCUUGUCGGGUAAGUUCCGACCUGCACGAAUGGCGUAAUGAUGGCCAGGCUGUCUCCACCCGAGACUCAGUGAAAUUGAACUCGCUGUGAAGAUGCAGUGUACCCGCGGCAAGACGGAAAGACCCCGUGAACCUUUACUAUAGCUUGACACUGAACAUUGAGCCUUGAUGUGUAGGAUAGGUGGGAGGCUUUGAAGUGUGGACGCCAGUCUGCAUGGAGCCGACCUUGAAAUACCACCCUUUAAUGUUUGAUGUUCUAACGUUGACCCGUAAUCCGGGUUGCGGACAGUGUCUGGUGGGUAGUUUGACUGGGGCGGUCUCCUCCUAAAGAGUAACGGAGGAGCACGAAGGUUGGCUAAUCCUGGUCGGACAUCAGGAGGUUAGUGCAAUGGCAUAAGCCAGCUUGACUGCGAGCGUGACGGCGCGAGCAGGUGCGAAAGCAGGUCAUAGUGAUCCGGUGGUUCUGAAUGGAAGGGCCAUCGCUCAACGGAUAAAAGGUACUCCGGGGAUAACAGGCUGAUACCGCCCAAGAGUUCAUAUCGACGGCGGUGUUUGGCACCUCGAUGUCGGCUCAUCACAUCCUGGGGCUGAAGUAGGUCCCAAGGGUAUGGCUGUUCGCCAUUUAAAGUGGUACGCGAGCUGGGUUUAGAACGUCGUGAGACAGUUCGGUCCCUAUCUGCCGUGGGCGCUGGAGAAUUGAGGGGGGCUGCUCCUAGUACGAGAGGACCGGAGUGGACGCAUCACUGGUGUUCGGGUUGUCAUGCCAAUGGCACU
rnacentral:rRNA from 1 species